rnacentral:rRNA from 1 species
UACGUAGGGUGCGAGCGUUAAUCGGAAUUACUGGGCGUAAAGCGUGCGCAGGCGGUUUUGUAAGCCAGAUGUGAAAUCCCCGGGCUUAACCUGGGAAUGGCAUUUGGGACUGCAAGGCUUGAGUGCGGCAGAGGAGACUGGAAUUCCUGGUGUAGCAGUGAAAUGCGUAGAUAUCAGGAGGAACACCGAUGGCGAAGGCAGGUCUCUGGGCUGACACUGACGCUGAGGAGCGAAAGCAUGGGGAGCGAACAGG